GAGCGCAGCGCGAGCCUGGACAGAGUCAUUGCGCGCGCCAGAGGCCACUCGCUCUAUUUAUCCAACAAGUGCCCGUCCGUUUCUCUCGUUCUCUCUCUCUCUCUCUCUUUCUGGGACCGUUCAACGAUUUGUCUUUGCCUUUGAAAUGUCAAUUACGCAUGCUAGUAACUACAUUAAAACGACAGCGAAGCGGAGGAACGUGUAGACAUAAUCCUUCAAUGUUUAGUGACCAGACGCGACAACUUUUAGGGAAUAAUUGAAAAUGGCAAUGUGCUUGCUAAAACGUUUGCGGCGUCCUGGUCGUUAGUGUCAGCAGUUGUCUUUUUUCCCCUCUGUUUUUAAUUUAAUUUUUAUUUUUUAGUUGAAUUUUAGUUCAAUUGCUUUAGUUUACAUACAACCACUAAUCACAACUAAGAGAUUCGGUAAGGAGGUGUUGGCGAAGAGAGUUUUGACAGGAAAGUAAUGGAAGAUGAUGAGCCCGCAUCGCCGGACCCGAACCACGACACCACUCAGAGUAAAAGAGGAAAUCCAGUGCAUAAGAAAUCCCAUCUAAAGAAAGACAGCAGUUCACACAUGCUGUGAAGAUGAUGCGAG